rnacentral:rRNA from 1 species
CAGUAGCCGCGGUAAUACGUAGGUCCCGAGCGUUGUCCGGAUUUAUUGGGCGUAAAGCGAGCGCAGGCGGUUAGAUAAGUCUGAAGUUAAAGGCUGUGGCUUAACCGUGGAGGGUCAUUGGAAACUGUUAAACUUGAGUGCAGGAGAGAAAAGUGGAAUUCCUAGUGUAGCGGUGAAAUGCGUAGAGAUUAGGAGGAACACCAGUGGCGAAGGAGGCUUUUUGGCCUGUAACUGACACUGAGGCGCGAAAGCGUGGGGAGCAAACAGGAUUAGAUACCCCAGUAGUCCCUGUCUCUUAUAC